UAGGGUUUUGGAAGCUGUCAGAACUGGGUGUUGCAAGAACACUGUGUGGUUCCAAGUGUGCCAUGGUGCUAUGAGCCUCAUUUUGUGAGGUAGAAGUGUCCUUUGGGACACUCUGUAGCAUCACCUUGGGUUGAACUAAAACUGUGGCAUUAAAUUUGUCUUUUUAUAGAUGAUUGAUUUAUGUUUCUUUGGUUUGUGUGAUAUAUGCCCCUCUGUGUGUGUGUGUGUGUGUGUGUGUGUGCGCACACACACACAUGUACACAAUUAUGGUCUUAUGAAAUCUGGAGCUAACCUCAGAUGAUGUUAUUUGGACACCAAACACAUUUUUUCUUUUUUAAAAAUUUUAUUUAUUUAUAUAUUUAUUUAUUUAUAUUUAUUUAUUUAUUUUACAUUUUUGUUUCUUUCUUUUUUUUUUUAAAGAUUUAUUUAUUUAUUAUAUGUAAGUACACUGUAGCUGUCUUCAGACACACCAGAAGAGGGCGUCAGAUCUCGUUAUGGAUGGUUGUGAGCCACCAUGUGGUUGCUGGGACUUGAACACUGGACCUUUGGAAGAGCAGUCGGGUACUCUUACCCACUGAGCCAUCUCACCAUUUUUGUUUCUUAACAGAGGCCUCUCAUUGGCCUGGAACUUGCCAGGAAGCUAGGCUGAUUGGUCAAUGAGCCCUGGAGAUUUAUCUCCCUAUCUCUACCUGCUCAGGACGGGGAUUAUAAGUAUUUCAUUCCUGGGUUGUUGUUUUUGUUUGUUUGUUUGUUUUCAUGAGUUCUGAGGACUGAGCUCAAGUCUUUGUGCUUCAAUGAGCCAUCUCCUCAACACAAUAAAUAUAAUCUUUAAACCUUAACCACAGUAGAUCUGAGUUUUUUUUUUUCUAUUGUAGCUUCUUUUGGUUUUUUUUUUAAAAAAAAAAACAAAAAGCAAACCAAAAACAAAAAAACCUCGAUUUUUCAAUAUGACCUAACCUAGUUUCUUUCACUUCAAAACACAACACAAAAAUUUUCCUUAGAAAAAGUUCUUUUGUUCUUGGGGAAAGUGAGCACUCAAAACCACAAUAUGGCUGUGGGCUAGAAGCUGUUAAUCUUGACGGACCAUGUGCGCAUUGCUUGGUACAUCGUGGACACUCAGUGAAAGUCGGCUGUUAGACACAUACGUCUCAAAUCCCCACAGAGAGCUGUGCGAACUUAGAUGUGCAGUGGACAUCUCUUGGGUAAUCCUGAGAACACGCAUGUCUUAUUCCCAGGCUCGAUGUUCUGACAUCAGGAGCAUAAUGGGCUAGAAAGUCUCCCAAGCCCCAGUAAUGGGCUGGGAAGGAAACUUGUUUUCCUUGCUCAUUUACUUAGGGUUAGCUGAUUAUCUGGCUUGUUACGCCUCUUCUGCUGGAGAAAAGUCCGUGUGAAAAGUAUCGUGUUCACAGGACUGCACUUCAAAUAAAAUGUCUGUAAGAAACAAUUUAGUGUGAAAUUUGCUUAGAAGAAGCUACCCAAGUCAGUUUUGCCUCAUUGUGGAGAGAUGUAACUGGCAGGUGUUAGCUUCUCUGAAACCCCUUGGAAGGUGACAUGAGGGGAGACUGGGACAAAUCCAACCAGCUGUGACCUGGUGCGGAAAGGCACUUACAGUCCCCAGGAUUGGACAGGUUUGAGAUUUGGGACAUACUAAGACCUUUGCCGUCAUUCCUUCAUUGGUGAAACAGGAAUAAUGGUGACAAUUAAAUGAGCCAGUGUUUGUGAACACAGUUAAAUGUCAGAGUCCAUCACUAUAUCUGUGUUGCAGAUGAGUUUAGUAUAGACACACAGUUCCUACCAUUCCCAUGGAAAGUGUGGAGUGGAAAGGGGGUUUGUCAUAAUGGAUGCUAACUUUCCCUACAACAAGCCUGGCACCCUGGCUUGGCAGCUUUAUCCCUGGUCCUGUACUCUGGAACUCUCUUCUUGUGAACCAUGUUUUACUGUUCCCUUGUCCAUUUCACAUUUCUACCCGUUCCCUUCUGAAAGCCCUCUGUGCUUUGAGCAUCCCAGUCCCCUACCCUCAUCUCCAGGCAGUACCCUGGCCUUGCCCAUCCUGUUUCUGACUUUCCCAGAAGCCAAGCAUGUCUUCUCAAACCCCUAAGAGGCUGUGCACUUAGUCCUGUGUUCAACCUGCCACUCUGCAUUCUGCCUUUCUCUGCCUCAUCCUUAGUCCUGGUGCUCAGCCACGCUCCCAGGAUGCUAGAGCACACCUCUAAGACCUUUCCCAUUCAUUUGCUGUCAGUGAGCCAUGCAACGCCCUAAUGCUGGAGUGAAGCUUUUCUAUCAUGUCACCUGGCUGUGUUCUCUUGCUGAAGUGCUCCAUGGUGUCCCCAUUGCCUACAGGAGAAGCGCAGACUUUUUGAACACAGCCCGUGAUAUGGCUACAUUCUUGCCUUUGCGGUCUGUCCUAUUGAGUUUUCUUUCUUCUCUACUUUCCAACCUUUCUAAGGGUUUGCCCCAACCCAUCCUGCACCCCACUUUCCCUCCCUACAGUGCUCGCCCACUCUGCCCUGAGGCUGCCUGGCCAGUGCCCAAAUCUUACAAUAGUAGGAGCAAGCACAAGCAGAGCAUGUGUCACUUGGGAACUUUUAAAUUAUAAAAGCAAAAGACAGAACUGGUUAAAGUGACAACAGAUGUCUUUAAUUCACAUGUCCUAAAAGUCUGGAAAUACACAAGACUGGAUCAAUUGCCUGACAAGGGUCACCCAGUGCCUCAUUUCUCUCCAUCCUUCCCAUCCAGCUUUGAUGCCUAUUGCAAGCUUUCAACCUCUUGGAUGAGGCGUAUGAGACUCUUUCCCCAAGCAAGCAUCACUUUUCAUCUGCUUUACCCACCUUGGGCCUCAGGCUAUCUCUCAAUUCAUUUCCAUGACUCAGGAAAGUAGCUUUGCGACUUGCUUCACUAGUUCAGAGCUUCUUCUGGUGCAGUCUUCUCAACCUUUCUAAUGCUGUGAGCCUUUACUACAGCUCCUCAUGCUGUGGGGACCCUCCAACCAUAAAAUUAUUUUCAUUGCUACUUCAUAACUUUAAUUUUGCCACUGUUAUGAACCAUAAUGCAGAUAUCUGUGUUUUUAAAUGGUCUUAAGCAACCCCGAUAAAGGAGUCAUUCGACCCCUGAAGGACUCUUGACCUCCAGGUUGACAACCAUUGUUCUCAAGGCUAAGGCUUGUAUUGGUUUUUUCAUCAGUUGCUGUUGUGCAUAGCAGUGGUCUGUGGGCAAGAAACAGUGCUAGCCUUCCUCAAAGGAAGCCCAGCAUCCCAUCCUUUGCUGUUGAAUACAUUGAAGAGCCCUCUUCCAUCCCAGACCCUUUCACACUGCAUUUUCCACUGAGUGAAGUCCUUUAUCCCCAGAGCUGGCGUGGUCUCUGCCAUGUCAACCUUUACUAAAAAGUGUGUGAUUGAAUAAAGAAAACCCAUUUCGCUUGCUUUAAUCCCCAAAUGUGCCCUUGUCUUCACCCUUGGCAGAAGAUUUUUUGCCUUCUCAGUAACUGAAUUUAUAGAGCCUCAAGUGAAUAACUUCAGUUUUGCUUUUAAAAUGUGUCUGUUUCGGUCUCACUAGGGGCGAAGUUGGUGUCCAUGUUGUCUUUCUCAUCUUGACAUUAUCACUGACAAACCUCCUUCGACUGUAUUUUCAUCAGCCCUCAUCUCUCAGCCUCUCACGUCACCUCUCUGUGUUCCCUCGAAAGGUUCAUGUCUUGAAUCCUUGGCCCUGGGCGUGUCAUAUGGACAGGAGACCUUUAUGAGGUAGAACCUACUGGGAAGUAAUUAAGUUAUUAGAGAUGCCCUCUUCACAGGAGAUAAGGUAUGUUCAGAAUGGUGUGGCCAUAUGCAGGAUGCUAUCUGUAAAAGGGCUUUCUGCAUUUCUUAUGGGAUCUUAGGUCCUACUGGAGUGAAUUGUUAUAAG
rnacentral:lncRNA from 1 species